CUUCAAGAAUUCUUUCUUGGCCAUUGGUUCUGGAACACAUCACCAUCACCCCCAAAACUUCAUCAUAUGGCACCUAAUGUGGGGCUUUGAGUCUUUUCAUCUGGACUCUGACCUGGUGCAAAUUUGAGCAGUAUAUGAACUAUAUCCUCAGCAUCUUCCUGUGUAUAAAGAAUAAUCUUCCUUCAAGCCCUAACUCAACCUCUGACAAGAAGCCCCUACAUAUCCCUCAAUCCUCUCUCUACAGUACAGAAAUCUUAUGGGAAUGGAAGAGCAUGAACAGGGGAGGGGCAGAGAGAGAGGGAGAU